UGCGGCAAGGAUCGCCACCCACCAGCGCGUUGCGCCCGUGGGUGCCAUACUG
rnacentral:sRNA from 1 species